UACGUAGGGGGCAAGCGUUGUCCGGACUUACUGGGCGUAAAGCGUGUGCAGGCGGGCGGCUAUGUGCCGUGUGAAAGCUCCCCGCUUAUCGGGGAGAGGUCGCCGGUAGACAGGUUGCCUGGAGGCUCGGAGAGGUCAGUGGAAUUCUCGGUGUAGUGGUGAAAUGCGUAGAUAUCGAGAGGAACACCAGUCGGCGCAAGCGGCUGACUGGCCGA
rnacentral:rRNA from 1 species